CAUUUUAGUGCACACAGCCAGGGCAUCUAGAGCAGAUUCUAGUUUUUGCAGUUUUGCUAAAGCCCAAUACCCAUUUGUGCUGGUAGCUGUGGUAGUGAUGAUGCAGAAGGGAACAUGUUCAUCCUCACAAAAUGCUCCCCAAGGUAGCAACCCAGAGUCUAGCACUAGGUUUGUGCUUUGAACUCAUCUAAGACAGAGCAUGUCCAAAGAGUCAUAAUUGCAGGGUGACAAGAUUGGAGGUCAGUGCUCUAUUUUCCAGCUAAAUAAGGGAAUGAGAAGUUGAGAGUUGAUACCUCCCUCUCCUCUCCCUCACUUGCAAGCACUUUGCACUUCCUUGCUAAGGCCUCAGGCUCCAGAGGGGCCCAGGAAGGUCUUAGAACCCAGCAAAGAGAGCUGAGUUUUCCUAUGGCACCCAAUAAGGUCUCAAGGAAGAAGGGAGGGAUGGGAGUGGCCCAAUCCUUAAUAACGUUCCUGCGGAUCUUUGUUUUCCUAAAGACUGGCUUGCAGACCGCAAGUAUGACUCCACUAGCAGCGAUGACGACGACAAUCCAGCUGUCUACACUCUUUGAGGAGGAGGAGUCUGUUUACAUCAACCUUCUUUUCUGGGAAUGCACAGAAGAAAUCAAUGAUGUAAAAAGAGAGGAAGAAGAGGAAGAAGAAAUGAAGUUCAGCAUUCAUGAGGAGCUUGCUGGAGUGCCUGCAACUGUGUGUGAAUAUGGAGUUGGAGAUAGGAAUCUGAUGGGGAAAUGAGCACAGGCAAGUGAAGGGUGCCCUGAGAAUCUCUCCCCGUGAGUAGAAGUGCUUUCCAUGUUAACCCUAAAGCUGAUCAGCUAUGCCAUCCCUUGGCUCCUUAAUUUGUAGGAGAGGACUCUAGCCCUCUUCAGGACCAAAGUUUGCCCUCCCAAUCCACCUAAGGCCUGCCAAAUCCUCCUGUCUUUCUUACUGAGUGUGGUGCACACUAUGGAGUAACCUAGAGUGCUACCAGUUUUCACAGGGAAAGGGUGAAUUAGUCUGUGUUAGUUUGCCGGGGCUGCUUUAUCUGAUACCAGUAAUUAACUGGGGUAAACACAGGAAUUUACAAUUAGUUUAGGAGAUUAGAAGCAAAAUCUAGGUGUCAGCAUGAUGAUGCUUUCCCUGAUGCUGCCAGCAACACAUAACUCAACCUCUGCCUCCAUCAACUGAUCAUCUGUCUUCAUCUGUCUCCCGGUGCUCCUGCUCUGAAUUUGUCUAGUCUUCCUCUCUUUGGAAGGACUCCAAGCAUAUAGGAUUAAGGUCACCCAGAUGCAUGUCGGCCUCCCCUUCACUAGUAAGAUCUCUGACGACCCUAUUCACAGUUGUGCGGGUGAGGAUGAAAGCAUGAGUUUAUGGCUUCCCAUUAUUCAAUCCAGAACCCAGAACAGUGGGGUCACUCUCAGGCAAACAGGGUAGCUAUUGAGGCCCUGUUUUCUAUCUCAGUGGGACCUGAGUCACAGCUGCCCAAGCCUUGGGGUUCUAAGCUUCUGUAGUUUCCUUCUGCAUCCCACUUCAGCUCACAUUCAUUUUCUCAUGCUGUACUUCUUUAGAAUUUAUUCAUGUAUGUAGAAUUCAAACAAACACAAAGCACAAAGGAAAUCUCCCUGCAGGGCUUGCUAGGAAUGAGGAAAAUCAGAGAGGAUUACAUGUACUUAAGUCCCCUUAUUUAUUUUAUAGUAUUUAAGUAAUAACUCUUAUUAGAUUAUGAUGAGUGUUUUCUAAUAUUUACAUGUUGGAAUAUCUUAAUGUAAGAAAAUAUAUGAUUUUGGCAUCACAGUCACUUUAUAUUAACAUGGAUUGCACAGUAAACUCAGUGUUUGAUUUAGAGUGAAACUGUUAAUUAGGGAAAGAGGUCCAGGAAUCUGCCCCUUUUUAAUCUGAGGCUUUCACCACUGGGUGCUCUUGAGGACCAGGGUGGAGGGAGCAAGGUUAUCACUUCCAUGCCUCUCCC
rnacentral:lncRNA from 1 species